CCUACGGGAGGCUGCAGUGGGGAAUAUUGCGCAAUGGGCGAAAGCCUGACGCAGCGACGCCGCGUGAGGGAUGAAGGUCUUCGGAUCGUAAACCUCUGUCAGCAGGGAAGAACGGUCACUGUGCUAAUCAGCAGUGAAUUGACGGUACCUGCAAAGGAAGCACCGGCUAACUCCGUGCCAGCAGCCGCGGUAAUACGGAGGGUGCGAGCGUUAAUCGGAAUUACUGGGCGUAAAGCGCUCGUAGGCGGUAUGUCAAGUCAAGGGUGAAAUCCCCGCGCUCAACGUGGGAACUGCCUUUGAAACUGGCAAACUGGAGUGCCGGAGAGGUAGGCGGAAUUCCUAGUGUAGCGGUGAAAUGCGUAGAUAUUAGGAGGAACACCAGUGGCGAAGGCGGCCUACUGGACGGUGACUGACGCUGAGGCUCGAAAGCGUGGGGAGCAAACAGGAUUAGAUACCCGGGUAGUC
rnacentral:rRNA from 1 species